UACAGAGGGUGCAAGCGUUGUUCGGAAUCAUUGGGCGUAAAGGGGCGUGUAGGCGGUUUUGUUAAGUCAUGUGUGAAAUCCCUCGGCUCAACCGGGGAACGACGCAUGAAACUGGCAAGCUAGAGUACCAAAGAGGGCGGUGGAAUUCCCGGUGUAGCGGUGAAUGCGUAGAUAUCAAGAGGAACACCUGAGGUGAAGACGGGUUGCUGGGCUGACACUGACGCUGAGUGCGCGAAAGCUAGGGGUAGCAAACGGG
rnacentral:rRNA from 1 species